rnacentral:miRNA from 1 species
GUGUUCUCUGAUGGACAG